UGGGGACGGCGGCGGCGGCGGAGGGGUGGUAGGCGUGGGACGAGGAGAGGGCGCGGGCGGGGGUGAGGAGGUGGAGGAGGGAGCGGGACCUGGAGGAGGCGAACGCGACGGAGCGCAUCGGGCCGGCGGCCCGGUGGAUGGCGGCGGCGGCGGCGGCGGCGGCCAUGGCGGAGGCGAGGGGCGGAGAAUGGGGAUUCUGGUGGGGAGAAACC
rnacentral:rRNA from 1 species